rnacentral:tRNA from 1 species
CGGGGACUAGGUCAUCGGUAGACCGCUGCUUUCGGGUAGCAGAAGUAGAGAGUUCAAUUCUCUCGUCCCCGA